rnacentral:rRNA from 1 species
AUGCAGUUCUUCAUCAAGACCCUCGCGGGCAGGACGAUCACUGUCAAGGUCGAUCCAGGGGACACCAUCUAUAUUGUCAAGGCGAAGAUUCAGGAUCAACAGCGGCUUAUGUUUGGCAGGGAGGAGCUGGAGGAUGGGUUAACUCUGGCUGAUUACGACAUUGACGAUGAAUGCACCCUUCACUUUGAUCUGCGGCCCCAGAGAAGGAAGAUGCUAAUCAUAAUUAAAACGUUGACAGGCAAGAUCUUCGCUCUUGAGGUCGAUAACUUGGAAACAGUCGACAGUGUCAAGGCUAAGAUACAAGUUGACGAGGGCAUUCCUGUGGACCAGCAUAGGCUCAUCUUUGCUGGGAAACAGAUGGAAGACUUUCGCACCCUGGGGAUCACCUGGUGCUCCGCCUGCGUGCCUGACUAG